CUCUUAUCGAGAGUAGGCUGAGGGACUGGCCCUAUGAAGCCCGGCAACCGACAUGGCAACAUGCACGGUGCUAACUCCUGCGGAUUUUCCGGGAGAUGAGAG
rnacentral:ncRNA from 2 species